rnacentral:rRNA from 1 species
UACAGAGGCCCCAAGCGUUACUGAGAAUCACUGGGUUUAAAGGGUGCGUAGGUGGCGCGUUAAGUUCGUUGUGAAAUCCCUGGGCUCAACCCAGGAAUUGCUUCGAAUACUGGCGUGCUUGAGGCUAGUAGGGGUCACUGGAACUGACGGUGGAGCGGUGAAAUGCGUAGAUAUCGUCAGGAACGCCGAUGGUGAAGACAGGUGACUGGGCUAGUUCUGACACUGAGGCACGAAAGCGUGGGGAGCGAACAGG